rnacentral:rRNA from 1 species
UACAGAGGUCCCAAGCGUUGUUCGGAUUCAUUGGGCGUAAAGGGUGCGUAGGCGGCGCGGUGAGUCGGGUGUGAAAUCUCGGAGCUUAACUCCGAAACUGCAUUCGAUACUGCCGUGCUUGAGGACUGGAGAGGAGACUGGAAUUUACGGUGUAGCGGUGAAAUGCGUAGAUAUCGUAAGGAAGACCAGUGGCGAAGGCGGGUCUCUGGACAGUUCCUGACGCUGAGGCACGAAGGCCAGGGGAGCAAACGGG